AUGCUGUGGGGCUGCUUGGUCACUGAGGUAAUGCUGUAGAGGGCCCCUCCAGCACCCUCUCAAGGCUGAAGGCUGAGUGUGAGUGUUCCCACCAAGGGCUCUUCCUGCAUGCAUUUUUAUACAAUUUGGUUUUCCCGGAUGAAGCCAUUACAGUGCUAAAAAGCGGUGGCCGCCAUGGCUCAGGGUGCCAGGAAUCUAACAGGGGCUUCGGAACAUAAAGCAGCAUGACGGAAGAAGGAUGAUCCUUCUUCCUCCUGACACCGGGAAUUACAGAGCGUUUUAUAUAAGGCGCCUCUAGGCUGCUGGAAGACAGAGUCCAACCCUGGACAGCAUGGGGUGACCUCUGCAAUCCAGAGAACUGCAGUGCUCUGUCCUGGGGAGCCGAGUGACUUCCCCACCCACGGACUUCAUGCGGUCCCAGACAGAAUCUCAACAGUUUGGCUGGUUCAACCAAUGGUGGAAGGUGGGGCUGGGUGAUUAGAACAAAAAACCUUCAACCUCCCAAACCUGACAGUUGUUGCUUUUUGCAGGCCCCUGUGGUGCUCCGGGAAGUGCAAUGACCAGCUGCGAUCCCAGGAGGUUAAGGGUUCUCUGUCUGUGUUGGGCUUGGGAAUGCAGCACACGGAGAUGAGAAACAGAUGUCGGAGCUGGACUGAGCUUUUGCGCUCCCCCGCCCGCCCGGUCCUUUCCCCAGCAGCCAGGGUGUAACAAGGCAGCACUCAUCCUGUGGCCACGUGAACUGGCAGCUACUGGGUGCCGAUCCCCGUGGGGAAAAGCUACAAGAAAAACAAACAAACAAAAUAACUAAUAAAGAAGCUUGCCCUUGCUGGAAAGGCUGUGACAGGAGCUCAAGUCACUUUAGUUUGCAGACAGUGAUCCGCGCCCCCCCUUCCUGUAGUGGAUUCAAUAGGAGUUGUUUUUUGUUGUUUUGUUUUUGAGACCCGGUCUCACUGUGUAGACCAGGCUGGCCUUGAACUUACAGAGAACCGCUUGCCUCUGUCUACCAAGCGCUACUAUUAAAGGCAAGUGCCACCAAGCAUGGCCGGGUUUUUCUUUAAAACAAAACAAACAAACAAACAAACCCAAAACACAUUGAUUUAUAACUGCUGUCUGGGGGCCCUUUGUCAUGGAGAGGUCACUUACUGUGCGAGGAAGGCAGAGAUUUAGAGAGGUAGACCUAACAAAGCGCGGGUGGGGGAAGGGAGGCACCUGCGCAAAGUGUUAAAAACUGCUACUACGCCAGAUGCGCUAAAUGUGACGCUGUUCUUUACAACAGUGAUCCUCCUGCCUGCAAGAGCCAGGCCUCUGACUGCCUGGUCGCGGCGAAUCCAGGAGGUGCACAGACUGCAAACCAGGGGGAGAGGAUCAGCGCCUGCAGAUUGAGCUCCAUCUGAUUUGCAUGUUUAUUCCCUAGAAUUGUAAUUAAAUUUGUGUAAUAAAUGUUUUCCAUUUCAUUUGUACACUCAAAAUUUGGGUGACUGACAUGCGGCUAAGUAAAUUUCCUUUUUUUUUAUUUUAUGAAGCAAAUGUGCCUUAUUCAAUAAAGUAGCUAAUAUUAACCAUCACCAGGACUAA